GCCUUCGUGGUGUAGUGGUCAACACGUGUAUUCGAGAAGUCAGUGGUUCGAGUCCCGGCGAGGGCA
rnacentral:tRNA from 1 species